GGGAGGUGAACAUCAUUUAAAGCAAGCCCGCUAUACUUUAAGGCAGACUGCAUGUUUUGAAAGAUGAGAUGUAUACUCAUUGGCAUAAGGCCUGGAGUUGGUGAUCAGGUUGACAUUAAAUAACGUGCAAUCCCUACAACAAAUGCCUUGUUCGUGGACGAGGCUGCAAACAAAAUUAGGCGACCAGGAAAUGGUGGAUGGCAUGGAGCCAGAAGUUCAGGAAGAAAGGAAACUGUCGUUUGAAGGUUGAAUGACAGAAGGAAGAUCAAACCGGGGACUAUACAACCUGUCAUCAGAUCGGCAUCCGGAGGACAGCCAUAUGACUGAAUAAAACUCCCUUGAUUUUA